GGGCAGCCUCCGCCCUCAGCCCCAGCUUGGGGCUGGACCCCAGCCUCCAGCCUCACCUCCUGCCGGCCUCUCUGCUUGCCCUCCCCGCCCCAGAGGGGGGGUGGGAGGCCUUGAGAUUGUCCCCGGUACCCCAAGGACGCCGAGGUUACGGGAAGUUUGGGGACUCGGGCCCCAGUAUCCUGAGUUCUUCCAGGAGAAGGAAGAUGGCGAAGACAGUGAGGGAAGAGAGCAGACGUCUGACUCCGGGGUGCUUAUCUGUGUGGAAGAGACCGGUUCUUCCUGACUGGCUUCAUGUCCCUCAAGGUGUUCUCCUGGCUCUUCAAGUAUUUACCCGUCUGUGUGUGACUCAUAUCCAGGAACCCAGGCAGCUUCCCUCAAUAGAUUGCUGGCUUCAGAAGAUGAGCCUCCCCUGCCGCUCCACAAGGCUCAAGUGCUUCAAUGAAAUAAAAGAGAACUGAAAUAAAAGAGAAAUAAAAGAGUCUGGCAAGUC
rnacentral:lncRNA from 1 species